GCGGCACCGGGUGGACCCGCUUGUUCCCGCCUCCCUCUUCGCCCAGCCAGUUCCCGUUGGCUGUCUGUCUGGGACAGGCACAAUGAUGGCGCUCCUGGAGCUCGGGGGCGGGGAGCUUUUCAGAGUGUAGAAUUUUCCUGCGAGUUGGACUCUUCACCAACUGACUGUCCCGAGGGGGCUGAAGCUGCUGCCCGGGUCAGUGGCGAGGUUCGGCGCAAUCUCUGGCUUGUAACUAGAGUCCGACGCUGGAUGCGCGGGUGGGUGUGGCAGACACCUGAGCUAACAGCCCAAGGGAUGCACCUCAAUGGCCCCCACCAGUGUCCAUAUCAGCACACCUGGACCAGCUCAGAACAAUGACCGCACCAAUGCCUCAGUCUCCGGAGAGGUCCCUCCUCUCACCGAGAUGCCCCCAGAGCCCACCAGGUGAGUCUCGUUUCACCAAAGGACUGUCAGCCUUCUCUCUGGUGAUUUUAGGUUGCUGCAAUGAGUGAGUUUGUGCGUGGGCCCUUUAAGACCCGGCUCUUUUCAGCUUUCGGCCCAUAGCUUUUCUGGGC
rnacentral:lncRNA from 1 species